CAGGAAUUCUUUGUUGCUUUACGGCUUGUGGCAUGUGCCCAGAAUGGACUAGAAGUUUCACUGAGUAGCCUAAAUCUGGCUGUUCCUCCACCAAGAUUUCAUGACUCCAGUAGUCCUUUGCUAACCAGUGGGACCUCAGUUGCUGAGCUCCCAUGGGCUGUAAAGCCUGAAGAUAAAGCCAAAUAUGAUGCAAUUUUUGACAGCUUAAGCCCAGUGGAUGGAUUUUUGUCUGGUGAUAAAGUGAAACCAGUGUUGCUCAACUCUAAGUUGCCUGUGGAAAUCCUUGGAAGAGUUUGGGAGUUGAGUGAUAUUGACCACGAUGGAAAGCUUGACAGAGAUGAGUUUGCAGUUAAGAUAAUACUCCCCAGCCCACAUACACACACUGGAG